ensembl:lncRNA
CCACCCCCACCUCCACCACCAUCAGACCUGACAGCGGCGGGCAGUUUAACGCACGGCGUGUCAGACAGUGAUGCAUCGGAGACAGCGCCGUGUUUUCCCUGGACGGCGUUCCCGACCUCGCCGCGUUUCCUCCAAGGUCGGCACAAUUAACGGGACCAGACGCUUCCUCUGGGAACGCCGAGCCGGUGACGGUUCCUCUGGGAACGCCGAGGAGGUGACGGUUCUGCUGGGAACGCCGAGGAGGUGACGGUUCCUCUGGGAACGCCGAGCUGGUGGACGCUUUCUCUGGGAGUGCCGAGGAGGUGACGGUUCCUCUGGGAACACCGAGGAGGUGACGGUUCCGCUGGGAACGCCGAGGAGGUGACGGUUCCUCUGGGAACGCCGAGGAGGUGGACGGUUCCUCUGGGAACGCCGAGGAGGUGGAUGGUUCCUCUGGGAACGCUGAGGAGGGGACGGUUCCUCUGGGAACGCCGAGGAGGGGACGGUUCUUCUUGGAGUGCCGAGGAGGUGACGGUUCCUCUGGGAACGCCGAGGAGGUGGACGGUUCCUCUGGGAACGCCGAGGGGGUGGACGGUUCCUCUGGGAGUGCCGAGGAGGUGGAUGGUUCCUCUGGGAACGCGGAGGGGGUGGAUGGUUCCUCUCGGAACGCCGAGGGGGCGGAUGGUUCCUCUGGGAACGCCGAGGGGGUGGAUGGUUCCUCUGGGAGUGCCGAGGAGGUGGAUGGUUCCUCUGGGAACGCCGAGGGGGUGGAUGGUUCCUCUGGGAACGCCGAGGGGGUGGAUGGUUCCUCUGGGAAUGCCGAGCUGCUGGGGAAGGGGGGGGGGGGGGUGGGGUUGUAAAUACUUGGCUGUAAUGAGAGUGAGCAGGAAAUGGUAGUUUGAGAAGGUUCUUGGUUUUCCUCGAUAAAUGAAUGGCCGGCCCAGAAGGUAGUCAGGUAGAAGUACAAACGUAUACUCUGCAUCCAGGAGUAAUGACAGCGAUUUCUGCCCAUUAAAGCGAUAGUGAGACUUCCCAUUUGGGCAAAGCUGUACCUAAUGUGGGUACUAAAACUAAAUGGAUACAUUUCCAGGAAAAGCAAUUGGAGGCGUUUGUUAAAAUGCCACAGCUUGUAUCUUAACUGUGAGUAUAAGAUGUGUGUACGUUUAGGUAUGAUAAAGAUAAAGGUGCAGUAUAGGCAAAACUGGCCUUUGAAAGACAUGGGAAUCCGCACACACACAGCAAUUACUUUCUCAAAAGCAAUAUGUGGCUUUGGGCAUUUCAUUAGAAGUGUGGAUAUUGAGAAAAACUAACUGACCAAUAAAAAUGAAGCAGUCAACAAUCAAAUUAAAGUCCUUUUCACUCUUUCCCCAACGGUAUUAGGAAUGAGUUAAUAAUAGCUUUAACUGGCUCACUGCAUACGCUGAAUUGACAUUGGUUUGUCAUGUAAAAGAUGCAAGUGCAUCAUGCAGAAAAGAGAUUGUAAAAUGGAUUUGUCACUUCGGAUAAGUCACGCAACAAACAUGCACCAUGAAAUAAUGGUUAAAUCAUUUUUAUGUAAUAUCGUCUAAUGUGUACGUCCAGUGCAAUGUGCUCGUGAAACGUUGUUACAUUAGGUUAGAACUUCUGCCAACAUUUCUCCUCCCAAAGUAAAGGGAAGAAAACGUGAAAAUGAAAAAGGCUGCUUUCUGGUUCUUCAGUGUGGUGGUCCAACAUCAAACUUGAACCGUCGUCACCUGAUUUAAAUUCAUAUUUUGUGGAGUGCUGCUCAAAGGUUGUCCUGCUUUGUAAAUAAGUCAGAUCUAACGGACUGUUUGUUUGCUUGUGUGUAUGUGCCGUCUGACAUAAAUCGCCACGAAUCACAAAUGUAUGCCAUAUCUAUAGGUCAUAUUUAUUUGCUAGUAGGACAAUGGAAAAUGAGUUUUUCUGUGGAUUUUAUUCAACUACUUUUGGUGACAUUCAGAGGGAACCUGAACGGAACCAAAGAGUGCUUGACUGUGCCUGAAGUAUCGCUUCUGCAAAAGAGAUUGUGAGUUUGAAGGACCAUUGCUGUUACGAAUGACAAUGAAUUGGAUUCUGCCUUUUUGGGAGCAUUAAUAAAAUGUUUUUGAAAAUCGACUUGUAAACACCACAGAGAGAAUGUACCUAUUUUUUGACAGCUCUUCAAUCCAAUAAAUCACCGGUCCUGUCACAGUGGUUGUUUGUGUCUCUUCAUAGCGGUGCUUUUAUCGAGCGCUUUUGGUCAUGAUCGAAAUGGCCUUUCAGCAAUUAUUCUAAUGAUGCCGGUAGUUUUGGAAGGC